rnacentral:rRNA from 1 species
AACGAACGCUGGCGGCAGGCUUAACACAUGCAAGUCGAACGGGCCCUUCGGGGUCAGUGGCAGACGGGUGAGUAACGCGUGGGAACGUGCCCUUCAGUUUGGGAUAACCCAGGGAAACUUGGGCUAAUACCGGAUACGUGCGAGAGCAGAAAGAUUUAUCGCUGAAGGAUCGGCCCGCGACUGAUUAGCUGGUUGGUAGGGUAAUGGCCUACAAAGGCGACGAACAGUAGCUGGUCUGAGAGGAUGAUCAGCCACAUUGGGACUGAGACACGGCCCAAACUCCUACGGGAGGCAGCAGUGGGGAAUAUUGGACAAUGGGCGCAAGCCUGAUCCAGCCAUGCCGCGUGAGUGAUGAAGGCCUUAGGGUUGUAAAGCUCUUUCAGUGGGGACGAUAAUGACGGUACCCGCAGAAGAAGCCCCGGCUAACUUCGUGCCAGCAGCCGCGGUAA